UACGGAGGGUGCAAGCGUUGCUCGGAAUUACUGGGCGUAAAGCGCGUGUAGGCGGUUUCGUGUGUCUGAUGUGAAAUCCCCGGGCUCAACCCGGGAAGUGCAUUGGAAACUGCGAGACUAGAGUCCCGGAGAGGAAGGUGGAAUUCCAGGUGUAGCGGUGAAAUGCGUAGAUAUCUGGAAGAACACCGGUGGCGAAGGCGGCCUUCUGGACGGUGACUGACGCUGAGACGCGAAAGCGUGGGGAGCAAACAGG
rnacentral:rRNA from 2 species